rnacentral:rRNA from 1 species
UGGGGAAUUUUGGACAAUGGGCGAAAGCCUGAUCCAGCAAUGCCGCGUGUGUGAAGAAGGCCUUCGGGUUGUAAAGCACUUUUGUCCGGAAAGAAAUCCUUGGCUCUAAUACAGUCGGGGGAUGACGGUACCGGAAGAAUAAGCACCGGCUAACUACGUGCCAGCAGCCGCGGUAAUACGUAGGGUGCAAGCGUUAAUCGGAAUUACUGGGCGUAAAGCGUGCGCAGGCGGUUUGCUAAGACCGAUGUGAAAUCCCCGGGCUCAACCUGGGAACUGCAUUGGUGACUGGCAGGCUAGAGUAUGGCAGAGGGGGGUAGAAUUCCACGUGUAGCAGUGAAAUGCGUAGAGAUGUGGAGGAAUACCGAUGGCGAAGGCAGCCCCCUGGGCCAAUACUGACGCUCAUGCACGAAAGCGUGGGGAGCAAACAGGAUUAGAUACCCUGGUAGUCCACGCCCUAAACGAUGUCACUAGUUGUUGGGGAUUCAUUUCCUUAGUAACGUAGCUAACGCGUGAAGUUGACCGCCUGGGGAGUACGGUCGCAAGAUUAAACUCAAU